rnacentral:rRNA from 1 species
ACGGAGGAUCCAAGCGUUAUCCGGAUUUAUUGGGUUUAAAGGGAGCGUAGGCGGAUUAUUAAGUCAGUUGUGAAAGUUUGCGGCUCAACCGUAAAAUUGCAGUUGAUACUGGUAGUCUUGAGUGCAGCAGAGGUAGGCGGAAUUCGUGGUGUAGCGGUGAAAUGCUUAGAUAUCACGAAGAACUCCGAUUGCGAAGGCAGCUUACUGGACUGUAACUGACGCUGAUGCUCGAAAGUGUGGGUAUCAAACAG